rnacentral:rRNA from 1 species
UACGUAGGUGGCAAGCGUUGCUCGGAAUCACUGGGCGUAAAGCGCACGUAGGCGGCUUCUUAGGUCAGGGGUGAAAUCCUGGAGCUCAACUCCAGAACUGCCUUUGAUACUGAGAAGCUUGAGUCCGGGAGAGGUGAGUGGAACUGCGAGUGUAGAGGUGAAAUUCGUAGAUAUUCGCAAGAACACCAGUGGCGAAGGCGGCUCACUGGCCCGGUACUGACGCUGAGGUGCGAAAGCGUGGGGAGCAAACAGG